GGAAGUAAAAGUCAUAACAAGGUUUCCGUAGGUGAACCUGCGGAAGGAUCAUUAUUGAAUGAAACACUUCUGGCUUUAUGCUGUUGUGCUGGCCCUUUGGGCAAUGUGCACACGGCUCUGGUCACUUGUUUCUUCUGUUCCACCUGUGCACUGCCUGUAGACACGCUGUGUCUAUGAUAUUUGUUAACACACAACAAUGUUAGUUGGCAUGUUAUAUAUAAUAAUAAAAUAUACAACUUUCAACAACGGAUCUCUUGGCUCUC
rnacentral:misc_RNA from 1 species